ensembl:lncRNA
CUUAGCAACAUAGAGGAAGAGUGGAGCUCCGUGAAACAGUGGAAGUCUAGCCGCUACCUCUCAGUGAGAGAGAGAGAGAAGAGGGACUCUAUGGUUCCACCGGCUUCCUUUUGGCCUGAGACACGUCGGCCAUGGCCUAACUCAGCAGGAGGUGGAUCUGGAGUGGACUGCGCAGAAGGGAAACCAUGAACAGACAACCCCACACCUUAAAAUGGAGAAAGACCUUCUCUUUUUGAGAAUAAAAUUCCACAUUAGUGGGUGGUUUUCCUAUUUAUAUUGCCAAAAAAAUAGCCAUACUUUAUACUGUGAGGCUGCCUGAGAGACAGACCCUUUUCAACAUCAACAGCUGUCAUCAUAGGCAGCUCUAUGGUGAGAAACAUCUUGGUCCCCAAGGCAAAAACCCUGUGUUACCCAAGAGCAUGAGUACAGGACAUAAGGCUGCUUCCGACUGUUCUACCACAGAUGCCGGGAGCUGAAACUGUUGUAGUCCAUGUGGGGUCCAACGACAUCAGGAGGGCUAGCUUGGAACAUUUGAAAAUGGAUUUUAAAAUAACUGAUUUUAGCAUUAAAAAGACUCAACAAAAUAAAACAGCCAAUUAUUUCAGGUCCAGGACAAUUGUUGGGUCGCAGGUGUGAAAGAUUCAGUAGACUGCUGGCCUUACACAUCUGGCUAAAAUACUACAAUUGUCACGACUUCUGCCGAAGUCGUUGCCUCUCCUUGUUCGGGCGGUGCUCGGCGUUCGACGUCACCGGUCUUCUAGCCAUCAUUGAUCCAUUUUUCAUUUUCCAUUGGUUUUGUCUUGUCUUGUCUUCCCACACACCUGUUUUCAAUCCCAUUCAUUACCUGUUGUGUAUUUAACCCUCUGAUUCCCCUCAUGUCUUUGUCAGAGAUUGUUUGUCAUUGUAGUGUUUUUUGUUGUAUAGGUGCGCGACGGGUCUUCGUACCCAUAUUUCUUUAUGUUCUUUUCCUGUUUAGUGUUAUGGAGCAUGUUACUAGGACAUUAUUAAAAGACUCCAUUUUACACUCAGUUUGACUCUCCUGCGCCUGACUUCCCUGCCACCUAUACACAUAUGCCUGACAGAAUCUCUGACCUACAAUAUGAAGUCAGCAGGAGAGGACACUAUGCUCAUGGAGCUAGAGGAACGCGUUCAGGAACAAGCGAGGGAGCUUGACUGUAUAAGCUCCGUCAUGGAUCGCAUUGUCCAGAAUAUGGAUAGCUGGGAGAGACCGGGAGUUUCUCCAGCGCCACCACCACCACAACCGGAAUCUCCCUUGAACGUUUUUUCCUCUCCGGAAUCGAAGAUCCAUUUAUCCCUACCCACGGGAUACAACAGAGAUACUGCUGGCUGCCAGGGUUUCCUCCUUAAGGUGAACUUAUAUCUAGCCACGGCCUCCCCAGUACCAUCUGACCAUGAGAAGAGUUACACCCUCGUCUCAUGCCUCACCGGGAAAGCCCUGGAAUGGGCCAGCGCUGUGUGUAGAAGGGAGGAUGCGGCGUUGGACCAUUUUGAGGAGUUCACCCGCCAAUUCCGGAUAGUAUUCAAUCAUCCACCUGAAGGCAAAGCAGCGGGGGAGCUCCUCUAUCAUCUGAGGCAGGAGACGAGGAGUGCACAGGAGUUUGCUUUGGAGUUUAGGACCUUGGCUGCCGGCGCUGGAUGGAGCGACAGGGCCCCGAUCGACCAUUACCGUUGUAGUCUACGCGAGGACGUCCGUCGGGAGCUGGCCUGUAGAGACACCACCCUCACCUUCGACCAGCUGGUGGACAUGUCCAUCAAGCUGGACAACAUGCUGGCUACUCGUGGACGUCUAGAUUGGGGUCUGGUUGUUCCAUCCUCUCGCACCCUCUCUCCCGAACCUAUGGAAUUGGGAGGGAUGGUGCGCAGGGAGACCGGAGGGGGUUCCCGUUCGAGCACCAUUCAUGCUCGCAGAGGGCACACUGCUGGUCGGUGCCGGGUUGGUUCCUCUGGGAAUAGAGAAGGCAGGCAGGGCAUUCUGGCUUCACCCCAGGUGAGUAGGCACCAUUCUCAUCCAGAGCCCUCUGCUGCACUAAUGUUUGUCUCGGUCUUUUUUCCUGAUUUUUCACUGCAUUCCCAGUAUAAGGCGCUAGUAGAUUCAGGUGCGGCUGGGAAUUUCAUUAAUAAAAGUUUAGCUCAUAGUUUAGGGAUCCCGAUUGUUCCUGUGGAUAUGCCUUUCCUUAUUCAUGCCUUAGUCGACUAUUAGGGUCAGGGUUUAUCAGGGAGGUAACCGCACCUUUGUGUAUGAUAACGCAGGAGGGUCACAAGGAGAAGAUUAGUCUUUUCCUUAUUGAGUCUCCUGCGUAUUCUGUGGUGCUAGGCCUACCCUGGUUAGCUUGCCAUAACCCCACUGUUUCUUGGCCACAGAGGGCUCUCACGGGGUGGUCGCGAGAAUGCUCAGGUAGGUGUUUAGGGGUUUCCGUUGGUGCUACUAUGGUGGAAAGUCCAGACCAGGUCUCCACCGUGCGCAUUCCCCCCGAAUAUGCCGAUUUGGCUCUCGCCUUCUGUAAAAAGAAGGCGACUCAAUUACCACCCCAUCGACGGGGGGAUUUUGCGAUAGAUCUCCUGGUAGAUGCUGCAUAUCCCAAGAGUCACGUGUAUCCCCUGUCGCAAGCGGAGACGGAGGCUAUGGAGACAUGUCUCUGAAUCCCUGCAUCAGGGGUUCAUUCAGCCAUCCAUUUCACCAGUCUCUGAGUUUCUUUUUUGUGGAAAAAAAGGAUGGCGGUUUACGCCCGUGCAUUGAUUAUUGAGGUCUUAAUAAAACAGUGAAAUAUAGUUACCCGCUACCUCUGAUCAAUACGGUUAUUGAGUUAAUAACCUCGGAUGGGGCCACAGUGUCUCCUGACCCCUCCUGUCUCAG